AUUCAAAGGCACAUAAGCAUUGUGAUAAGAACUUUUAAGUAGGACAUAAUAUAUGGUUUGAUUUUCAGGUUCUCCAGAAUCAUCUGUGCCAUUUUCUUUUCCUUGCCCUGGCAGCACUGUGGCAGGCACAGGGCCUGCAAUGCCUCCCUGGUGGUCAGUUGCCUAAGAUAAGAAAUGCCAAAUCAUGACAACUGGACCAAAGAAGCCCCUCCCUUCUGCCUUUGGACCCUCAUUAUCUCUCUGUAAGACCAUAGGUCAUAUUCACCUCGACCCUCACUGUUGGAGUGUUUCCCAAAACCCCUACACCCUAUAUAAACACCCACUUCUGCCCCAUUCUGCAGAAGAGCUGUCACUGUGACCCUUUGCAGAAGCUGCCAAUAAAGACCCCUCUGUGGAACCUCACACAACUCUUCUCCUCUCUCUCCUGCGUGUGCCGAGGCACUCAGCAAGCAAAGAGCUGAAAUCAUUAUAGAGCUGAAUUCACCAAAGAGCUGAUCUCACUGAAGAGCUGAGCUGCUUGCUAAGAUUGCCCACGGCUGGAAGCCUGCCUGGGACACCUGGCCAGGUUGUGCUCAGUGGUACUUCACUAUCUGGGACACCUACAGCAGCCAGAGUCAGAUAGAGCCCGAGAACCCACUGGCGUAAUAAAAACAGCACAACAGCAAAGCACAGGUAAUGCCAUGUGCAUGCAGAAUGGAAGGGCAGGAACCUGUUUGCACUUUGCAGGCAAGAAUUCACUGCAGAUCUGUCAGUCAUGUGCUGAAAAAGUCAAGAAAGUCAGAUUUUACAUCCACUUCAGGUUCUCCUGCUAUUACAUCCCACAAAGAGUAUUCUCUGGGAUGAAAAAGUCUGAGAGGUCAUUUAAAUACAAGAAGUAUCAUUUCACCUACCAUUUUCUGUGUUGCCUGUAGUAGUUCUUCUUCUGUUUUUCCUCUCAGGCAUUCAACCAUUGCAGCUGAACUGGAUUUUUCACAGCCAGAGACAGCAGCAAUUUUCUGCAAGCAGUGAGAACAAACAGUUUUGGCCACAUUUCCUCUGUCUGGCUCUGCGAGACACUGAGUCCAGCAGGAGCAGCCAAAGCUCCUGCACAAAGGUUCCUGGAGCCUGGCUUGUCCCAGCUCCAGAGGCAGGGCACUGGAAGCCCUCACAAUCCUUCACACCACAGGCUGGGCAGAAGGGAAAACCUCUGCCUGCAAGAUGUUUUGAUACAGAAAUAUUCUAAGACAAUUCUGGUAAAUAACAUACUGGGCUGAGAAGGCUGGGUGACAUACAGGAGUUAGAGAAUAAACAACCAUCUGCAGGGUAACAGAGAGCACAUUCUACCAGUCUUGGGGACAUCUUUUGGGCUGGAGCAAGAGCUGUCAUUAGAGAGAGCUGUCUCUCUUAUGUCCCAGCUUCCAGGUUCUGGAAAUUGCUCCUUGCAGUUGAAGAGAAAAGAAAGGGGUGGAAGCCUGUAGUUCUCAAAUUAAAAAAACUGAAAAAAGACCUGUUUAUUUGCAUACUACCAGCAUCAAACAGGAGGGGAAGAGAAGAGUAUUCAGAGUCUGGUGCCGUUUUCCAGCCAACAAGUAUACUGAAAAUGGAUGGAGGGGUUAUUUCCACUAAGUAAUUACAGUUCAAUAUUACUGUGAACUUACAAGAGCAGAAACACUGAUUCCUCCUGCAGAUUCUCCAAAGAUGGUGACAGAUGCUGGAUCUCCUCCAAAAUGCAGGAUAUUUUCCUGAAUCCACCGAAGAGCCGCCACUUGGUCUAAAUAUCCCCAGUUACCUCGGGCAUGCUCAUCACCAGUGCU